GAUAUCAGACCAAGAUUCUGAUAAAAGGGGAUAACAGAGAUUAACCGGAGCAGAAAAAGUACUUUUCUGAGCCAGAGAUAACAAGAGAAACUUAAAGAAAGUGCUGAAGCAAGAAACUUUAAGCCUGUGAGUAGGAUGAACCUAACCAGUUGGCAGUGCCUCGUACUCUGUGAUGGAUUUUCCGAAGACCAAAUGUACCAUUUUCUUGUCUUUUCAAAGAGAGCCACACAGGAAGGAAAACAAGAAAUUCAACUUUUAAGCUGGGCUAUUCAUGGCCUUUGCUAAAUCCUGGCAGAAUUUCACAGUUCUUCAUUACAAUUCAUCUCACUGAUUUCCUAAUGCAAUGAACUGGCCUUUUCAUUAAGGCCAUAGGGAAUGAAGCUGAGUUACCCAAUCAUUAAGUGUUGUUAUCUGAUGAGUGAAAAAUGGAUUACUUUUCGAUGUGCAUUUGGGGAGCCGUGUGUGUGUGUGUGUGUGUUUCCACUAGAUUCCAUUUUGCGAAAAUUGGUUCAAGUGGAAGGACAGGGUUAAUCUUUCAUGUUCUGUUCUGCUAGAACACUAUAUGGCUUUCUGCUCUGUGAGCAGGCAAAGAAAAAUUGGUGGGCUCAGGAAUCAGAAAUGCAGGGCCAACAGUCCUGUUUCUCACUUUCGAUAAAGGCCAACAUUUUACCUGCUCAAGAACACUCUAUUCCUUUAACCAACGGGAGUGUUAUUUAAUUAGUUCCUUCGUUUUUCAGCUAAAGCAGACACAUGCGCACAUCACACACACAUGCAUGCGCUGUGGUGUUUUUUCUUCUAUCACCCCUCCCUCCACAGAGAUAUCAAUUUGCAUAAGAGGAGAAAAUAAAUUCAUUUAAACCCCAUUCUAAAUUCAGUAUUAGAAAUGUAAUGAUCUCUAACACUGACCUUUUUAAAAUACUUUGUGGAUAAACCAUUGAUUUUAUUUGUUCUAAAUUUACUUUAAAAGACCUGUUUUGUAAAUCACUAAAACACAUGUAUUUUAUUUACCUGUUUGGGAUAAUAUUAAACAUAAUCUUUGAGGGU
rnacentral:lncRNA from 10 species